CACCCUGAAAGGCAAGGACGCCAACAGCAUGGUGUGAUUAUGCCACCCACUCCCCAGACUUGCAUGGUCGCUAAGUAUCAAGGAAGAGCUGUACAAUCUUAAGAGGAUGCACAUUAAGGACAGAUUCAUCUCUAAGGCAAGGACUUCCCUCUCUGACAGAGCCCUGAUCAACAGACUGUCCAGAAAAAAGAAAAUGUUCACACCCUGAAGACGAAGAAAUGCUAUACGGGGACCAGGAUCUUUGUAAACACCGUUGGUGCUGAUGACAGGCCGAAUGGGGCCUCUUCCGAAGAAGAUGAAGGAGAGGCAUGUCUAUGGCAUUUGCAGUAUCUAUGCUGCCCAAGUGCUUGCUGGCUAGCCUCAAAUGAUUUCUUAAUAGCCACAGCCACCCAUUCUUGCCAGUCCACAGCCUUAUCAGGUCCCGCAGUAGGGGAGCAUGCAGUUCUGUCUCCUUUGAGCCUCUGACUGGAUCCUGCUGCACUGGGGAAAAGGCGUUGAUGUGCGAGCCAGAAGGCAGGCGCCGACCCGAUGGUGAGAGGACCAGCGGUGAAGGGGAAGCGAGGAGCACUGGCCUCUGGAUGCUGAUCUCGGACGUGCUUUCGCUCCCCAGCAGCUGGCGGGCAUGCUUCUUUCCUCUUGGGGAAGAGCGGCUCCGCUUCUUGUGCUUGCUAGCCUUGCGUCCCUCUCGCUUUGAUCCUAGUUCCCUUCUGGCUCCUUGGCUGCCAACGAGGGGAGCAGCUGAGACCCAGAGGCACCAGCGGAACUCCCUGCAGCGCCCCCUAAUGAGGAGGCCUUCCGCUUUAAAGGUGGGGAAAGCCUGGCUUUGGCGUGCUGGACCCUGAAGGCCAGAACCAGCAGCUUCCUGAGUUCCCCUGUCGAGGAGUAAAAAAUUAAAGGCUUAAAAAAACAAACAAAACAAAAAACACCCCCAGGAAACGAGAACAUUUAAGGAGAGAAUAGAAUCCAGAAACACAAAAUCAGGAGGGUAGAACAAGAGGACACAAGAGCAAAAAGCCAAAGGGUAAAGUAGCCAAAGCAGGAUAGAGAGCUCAAGCUAUCUGACUAGUCACUCUAGUUAAAGGCAGGAAACAGGCCUGGAAGGGAUCGCCCCUUGUGGGCUAGUUAAGGGUCUCUUCAAGAACAUAUUUCCUGCCUUCUGGAGCACUAUGAGUGACCUCCUACACCAGCAGAGAAUAGAGCUGGCCGCAGCAACAGCACACAUCCAUUGGAUCUUCUGGUGCCAUAUUGCCAGUCACCGCCAGCUAAUGGCAACACAGUUCCUACCUCUCUUUCCUGCAUUGCCUGGCUGUGAUGGGAGGGAGAUGGAGAGAGUGUAAAGAGGAACUCAUCCGGGUCUCUUCUGUGACCGCAGUAGCCCACAAAGGAUGCCCAGGAGCCUGGCUGCCACCAGAAGAAAUAUCUGCUACUCAGAACCUGGAUGUCUCACGAGUUCACCUGAGGAGCUAUUUCUGUCUGGCUGAGCAGAGGGCAACAGAUUCUGAUCACUGGUGUCUAUGUUAUCCACUUGUCUCUAGCUAUGAAAAACAGAUCAUCCUUAGGAACAAAUAGGGGGUUGCGAGGGGUGUGUGUGUUAGAUCAGGAUCUCUUGGCACUUUCCUCCCUUUCCUUUGGGCUACAGAAAGCAGUUCAGGGGCAACAAAUGGAGUCUGUGAUCAUCUUAUCUUUGCCAUUUUAGAUAAGAUGGCAAAAAAAAGAGAUGGCAUUAAACUGGCUAAAAAUCAGUUUAUUAAAAUGAACAAAUGGAGUCUGAAUCUGGAAUCACUUUAUGCCUUUUUAUGUAGACUGCAAAAGCAGUUCAGUGAAAGGAAAAGACUGGGGUCUGUAACUACUUGGGAUGUCUUUGCAGUUUUGCUAGAGAAAAUAGUUCAUCAAAGGGAGCAAACCAGUGUGUUGGGUUCUGUUAUCCUGUAAUCUGUUUGCACUUUGCAGGGAGGAGGGGGAGGACUACCAAAACCAGGGAAAAAGAGAACAAGCUAGUGUUGACUACUGCUAUGAAUUUGGGGAAUCCAUUCCCUUUUAUUUUUUGGCCAUAAAAAUCAGUUCAAUAAAGAGGGACAAACUGG